rnacentral:tRNA from 1 species
UUAUUGGUAGGUUAAGUAUUAAACUGGUAAAUUGUGGUUUUAUUAAUUACAUGUUGUACCAAUAAA